rnacentral:lncRNA from 1 species
AUGUCAGCAGUCCUCCCUGUUGUGAUAGAUUGCAUAGGAUGCUGCUUCCGGAUCCAAAGGAACAAUCGACAGACGUCACAAAGAUCCACCUCUGGCUGCAUCAGAAAAUUAUGCUCCUGGCGCCACCAGCGAGUGCACCCCGCUAAUGGGUCGGGGACAGAAGAAACCCCGGGCUCCCAUGAAAGGCUGCCCAGCACCGCAGGAGGAAUAGAGGCUCCAAGUGGCUGCACAAUGCCGGCCGAUGACGCAACUAAUAAUAAUGGCAUGGCUUUGGAGCGCCCCACUCCAGUGACAAACAAUCGGGGUGAAGAAGAAGAAGAUUGCAUAGGAUGCUGCUUCCGGAUCCAAAGGAACAAUCGACAGAUGUCACAAAGAUCCACCUCUGGCUGCAUCAGAAAAUUAUGCUCCUGGCUCCACCAGCGAAUGCAACGGGCUAAUGGGUCGGGGACAGUUCACCCUCGGCAUAUUUUGGUGAAGGAGUACAGCAGCUCAGAAGAUAUUCCAUCUGACCCCUCACUCAUGUUGUACGAGUGGCCUUACAGAAGCGAAUUUAUUGCGGAGAGCGUUGGCAGCAUCACUAACGAAGAUGAAGAAUGUUACAUGGCAGAUAACGAGAAUUCUGACAAGGAAAGCAGAAUUAAGGGUAAUCUAUUUCCUCUUUCACAUCUUUUCAUUUUCCUCUCUUUGUGUCACCCGUAGACUCUUCCUUGUAAGUCUUAACCACCUCCUUGCUCCAUCCUUUUAUGAUAUUUACCAUGAUGGAUUUGGUCUCAGAGACUGUACUUUUCCUCCCAGAAGCGGAAACGCUCCCUGUUCCUGCGUUUAAGAAAAGCAUUUGGGGGGACAGCCUCCGAUGCCGAUGAUGAGCACACCUAGGAAGAGGCAGUGUCGAUGUGGCAGACCGGGGGUGCAAAGGUGAGGAGACAGAUGCGCCUGUUCUCCACAGCAUGCCCAACUUCCUUUUGGUUUUUCAGAAAACAAAAGACCACAGAGGGUAUUAAUCCAUCCAGAGGAUGCCAUGAGACACCUCCAAGCAACACAUCCCAUCCCACUCGCGUAGGGCCAUCAAGUGCAUGACUCACUAACGUUUUUUUUUUUUUUUUUUUUUUUUUUUUGCUUUUCUUGGGCCGGGCGAUCGGCUAUCCCCCACCAGCCUACGCCAGAGCCACAGCAACGCAAGAUCUGAGCCACGUCUGCAACCUACACCACAGCUCACGGCAACGCCAGAUCGUUAAUCCACUCAACCUCAUCUUUCAGUCAGAUUCGUUAACCACUGCGCCACGGCGGGAACUCCCCAGUCUUUUUGAAGACCCACUGGGGUCCGACAUCCUCUGCAGGACCCAUCCCUGCAGUGCCAAUCCCCACCCCCUCAAGUUACCAGGGAGCCUCCCCCCCCAGGGAAUCACCAGGUGAUGUGAGGCAAUGGAGGAGUGGCCCUGACCUGCCCAGUCUCAGGACUUCUGGGAAAAGGGUGAAGAAGACCCAGACACCCACUGCUCUGUGAGCAGGGAACUCACCUGUCCCUGCUCUGCAUCCCUAUGGACUCUUCAUGGUCCUGGUAUCAUUUGGGAAGCUGCAGGAUCCCUGCUUGCCUAGGAGGUGCCUGAGCCCUGGGGGUCCCUCAGCCUCUGCAGCCCCCUUGUAAGGUCUCGGUCACCUUAUGGCCCCAUUUCACAACCUGCGCUGGAGCUUCUGUAGAUACUAUAUUAUGUGUGUCCAAGUCACACUAAAGCAGCAUGAGGUGGCACUUCAUUGCAGUGCUCAUUUGGGAUGGGUUGCCAGGCAGGAUUUAUGUUACUUCUGUUCCUUUUGUUUUUUCUCCAAUUUUGUCAUUAAAUAACAUAAACACAGCUUGUUUUAUUACAUUUUUAAAAAGCAGUGUUGUGGAGUUGCCUUGUGGCUCAGUGGGGUAAGGUUUUGGCUUGUCCCUGCUGUCUCUGGUCACAGGUAUGGCAUGGGUUCCAUCCCUGGCUGAGGAAACUCUGCAUUCUGAGGGUAUAGCCAAAAUUUUUUUAUAAAUAAAAAAAUAAAUAAAAAUCA